CAGCGCCGAGCACAUGCAAGUCGAACGGUGGCAGCAAUGUCCACAGUGGCGCACGGGUGCGUAACACGUAACUAACCUGCCCAAGACUGGGGGAUAGCCCGCCGAAAGGCGGAUUAAUACCGCAUAAUAUCUUUUACUGGCAUCAGUGAUUGAUUAAACCUGAGGGGGUCUUGGAUGGGGUUGCGGGUCAUUAGCUAGUUGGUACGGUAACGGCGUACCAAGGCGACGAUGACUAGGGGAGCUGAGAGGCUGGUCCCCCACACGGGCACUGAGAUACGGGCCCGACUCCUACGGGAGGCAGCAGUAGGGAAUAUUGGGCAAUGGGCGAGAGCCUGACCCAGCCAUGCCGCGUGCAGGAAGAAGGCUUUCUGAGUCGUAAACUGCUUUUGAUAGGGAAGAAUAACCAGUACGUGUACUGGGAUGACGGUACCUACAGAAUAGGCACCGGCUAACUCCGUGCCAGCAGCCGCGGUAAU
rnacentral:rRNA from 1 species